GAACGCAUCUUGCGCCCCCUGGUAUUCCGGGGGGCAUGCCUGUCCGAGCGUCAUUACAACCCUCAAGCACGGCUUGUGUUAUGGGCCGUCGUCCCCUACUCGCUAGGUGGACGCGUCCGAAAUGCAGUGACGGUAGCCGCGACUCCGGUGCCCGAGUGAAUGGAGGAUAAUACCACCGCUCGUUUGGCCCGGCCGGCUCCGGUCGAAAUCAUUUAUUUCUUAGGUUGACCUCGGAUCAGGUAGGGAUACCCGCUGAACUUAAG
rnacentral:misc_RNA from 1 species